CACAAGGAGACAGCCCACGUUGCUUCCCCAUUCAAAAACAAGAAAAAAGAAAAUAAAAGGAGGCUCGUAGGAGAAGAAGAGGGGAAGAGGGAAGAGUUUGGGAAGUUAAAAAGGGAGCUAUGGGUUCUGCCGGGAGGGGAAAUCCCUGCUGCCAUAUCUGUGAGAGGAGUGUUCGGAGCUGCUUUUGGAGGAGUGAAAGAGUUGUUGCAGAUAUGGGAGAAGAGAAGAGGAGAAGCUGAGGAAAGGGGGUGUCUUCAUUUUGGCAUGGGAGAGGGAGCGGGAGAGCAGCAGGAGGAAGGGAGCCCUUCCUUCCUUCCGUUUCCAGCCAACCAAAGAGCGCCCGUGGGAAGCUGCACCAACUUCUAAAGGGCUGAGAGGAGGAGCAGGGAUGGACAUCUGAGGAGUCCUUGCAGCAAGAUCUGGAAGAUGAAGUGGAGAACCAUUGAAGUUGCAAAGGAGAUCUUGAUCUGCACUUCUGGAGGAAGAUGGAUCACAAAUUUUACAAAGGAAGUCUUCAAGAGAUGGCGGGGAGGAUACCUUGGGAGCAGCUCUUGAUGGAGACGGCAGUGCUGCAACCUAGCAUUACUAAUUCUUAUUUCGUGAACUCGUUUAAUUACAUUUGUGUGUAUUUUAAGUUUUAAAUUUUUCGUGAUUUCCAUGGGAGAUUCCAAUAAUCGUAUUGUCAAUUUCUGCACUAUUCUGAGGAUGACUGUAAUCCUUAAAUUACUCUUGACUGCUUUCCUAUAUUAUGCAUGAUGACGUCUUUAUUAUA